rnacentral:misc_RNA from 1 species
GAUGAAGAACGUAGCGAAAUGCGAUAAGUAAUGUGAAUUGCAGAAUCCCGUGAACCAUCGAGUCUUUGAACGCAAGUUGCGCCCGAAGCCAUUAGGCCGAGGGCACGCCUGCCUGGGCGUCACACGUCGUUGCCCCCCCCAUCUACUCCUUCGGGAUUGCGGGGGGCGGAUGAUGGCCUCCCGUGCGCCUCGCCGCGCGGUUGGCAUAAAUGCCAAGUCCUCGGCGAUGCACGCCACGACAAUCGGUGGUUGCGAAACCUCGGUUGCCCGUCGUGUGCGGUCGUCGCGCAUCGAGGGCUCGAAAAAAUUGCCGGGUUCCGGCUCGGCUUUCAACGCGACCCCAGGUCAGGCGGGGUUACCCGCUGAAUUUAAGCAUAUCAAUAAGCGGAGGA